UUCCUUUAAUUUCAGAGUCUACUUAUCAGAUGGAGGGUGCUGCUGCUGGCAGCUCUAUCUCACAUUUUCUCCCCUUCUGAUCAGUUGAGCUCAUUAUCCUAUGUCUCAAGAUCCAGCAGCAGUGAGUUUGAAAAAAGGCAUAAAUGCUUAAGUCUCCUUUUACACUAGGCAACUGAACCGCAUCUGUCAGCGAUUGCUCCCUUUGAACCUGUGCUAAAAACAAUGUAACUGCUAAUGUAAAUGGUACAAAACCGCUGUUACCGAAAGCAUGGUUGGGACUUAUACCAAACUUGUGCUUGGAUGCCAAGUUCCUGUGACCUUUUCUGUCUAUACUGUCACUUAAUCUGUUUUCAACAGCAGUUCAGAAAAACCUAUUGCUGGCAGCUGUUCAAUUCCUUAAUGUAGAGAGGACUUCAUGUGAAUGAGGCUUUCUUCUGCAGUUAUAACUACAAGACCUGUCAGUUCUCAUGUUUCAAGGCAAGGUGGAUAAAAAUCAAUUUUUUAAAAAUGUUUUUAAAAUUUAAAUAGUAAUUUUUUGAUUUUUGUUUACAUUAUUUUUAAUAUAAAAGAUUUAAUAUGCUGAAUCCAUGAGCUUCUAUCAAAAACUUUUGAGUUAAAGACUGCUUCUCUGUAUAAGGAAAGAAUCGGGAGGGAGAUAUAACUUUUGAGGUUUUAAUAAUUAUGGCAAAGUAGGUUAUGUAUGGUACGUGUACUGUAUUAAGGGCUUGAUCCUAUGGGUGAUCUGGGGGCUGUGCUACUGGCUCCAGGAGACACCAUCAUGUAUCUCAUCAGGCUCAUCCACUGAACCCAUCUGGGUGAUUUCAAGCUCCUACUUUAUAGCUUCUCCCGACCUGAACUCUGGCUCAUUUCUCAGACUAUGAAUAUUUAUACUCCAACCACCAGCUCAUGGAGAAACACUGAUCUGCCCAAUAACUACCAACCCUUGCUUCUGAAUGGUUUUGGGCACUUCAGAUAAAUGGCCUUGCUCUCUCUUCGUACAUGUGCACACGGACAGAUACAAACAGAAAUCCAUUAACUUCUCAACUGCCUCCCUCUCCCUCUCUCUCUCUCUCUCUCUCUCUCUCUAAAUGAAAUACUGCAGUACAACAGGCACAUAUGUUAUGUUACCGGAAGUCUUGGGUUGUUGUUAGUUUUUUUGUUUUUUCUGGGGUAGGAGUGGGGUAGGGGAGAUAUGUAACGAGAGAAAGAGCAUAGUAUGCAGCCAGAAAGGUGCAACACUUGUCAAAUCAGGACACUGGGAAGAAGGGGCAACAUUCUUUAGAAUGUAGCUUCUAGUGUUGAUUUCAACACCUAGGAACUGGAGGGGAAAAAGCUGCCAUGGCUGCAAGUUGUGAAAAAGAACCUGUUUGGGAAUAUAUUCAAGAAAUUCCUGUACCUCUGGGUAAAAAAGUAACUCAUGGCAACUGUGAAUGGUGAAACAGAGAUGCAGGGCCUGGGUUGCCAGAAUGACACAACAUUAUGAAAAUUGUUUCUCAGAAGACAGUGAUUUGAAGAUGAUGUGCCUGAACAAUCUGGAUCAGCUGGGUCCCUGCUUAGACAUAAGGAGUUGUGAAUGUCCAUCAUCUGCAAUGUCCACAACGUCAGAGUCAUCUGCUAAUACCACCAGCAGUACUGCAACUAAACAUAGUUCAGACAGUAAAUUAACUGCAUCAAAACAAGCUUUCUUCAUCAUAAUCCAAUUAAGAAAGGCAUGAAUUGCAAUCAGGACCAGCAAAUUCCAGGAAAACUCCAUAAAUUUCAGAACAAAUAUUUCAUUGACGUGGUUCAAUCAUUAUAAAUAUGGAGCACUCCAUCUGUAGAGCAGACAUUGCUGAAACGUUGUUGUGAGAAGGAAAUUGAACAGUGUGCAAAGCACAUUGGUGGGGAAAUUCAUUAAUCUGAGUCCUGAUGUGUGGAACAGCAUUCACAGUGCUCCAAUAAUAUGUGCUUGUGUGAUAACAGAGAUGAAGUUGUCUCUUAGAGAAACAAUUGAUACAACAGGAAAUGCCCAUGCAGCAGAAUACUUAAAAGAACUGGCAGUAGAAGCUAUAACAAACUUUGAACAAAAAUUCAACUGUCAGGUAUGUAGCUUUGUCACAGGCAGUGAGGCAAAUGUAGCAAAGAUGAGAAGAAAUCUAGAAGAUAGUGAUUGGAAUCUGAAACUUAUAACAUAUGGGGGUAUACAGUGCUCUUUUGAUGCAUCUUUUAGCUAAAGAGUUGAAUACAACUGCAGGAAUAAAGGAAAAAGUAGUUAAAGUUGCAAAAUGCUUCCAUAACAACCACUUUCCUCCAGCUUCACUGAAGAGAAUAGAAGCAUUUAAACUAAUUCUCCCUCAAGAGGUAUGAUGGAAGUCAGUGGUUGACUGUUUUGAGCUGUUUAUUUAGAACUAGCCUAUUCUGAAGAUAAUUUGUGAAUAAAAUUGAGACAAAAUAAAUGGAACUCUCACAGCCAGAGUAUUCAACAUCGGACUAAAAGGAAAUGUAGAAGAUAUGAUAAAUAUACUGAAACCUAUUUUCAUAGCCUUGGACAAACUAUAGAAAGAUUGCUGGUGAAUUGCUAAUGCUGUUAAAAUUAGAAAGAACUUUGAGAUGCUGAAAAAAGAAAUACCCAGCACCAAAAUUAAAUUUUAGGCAGUAAAUAAUUGGAUGAAUCAAGCAUUUACUCUACCUCAUUUUCUUGCCAGUAUUCUCACCAAAAGUACCAGGUAGAUGCCAAGCUGCUGAAGAAGAUGCUGCUGCUAUGACAUGAGCAUUGAAUAAUCACCCAUCAAUCUUGCCAACCAUAAGAAAUUUCAGGGCUGGAAGUGAACCAUUCAAGCAGUACACGUUUGAUGAUGUUUUAAAGAAAGUCACACAACUGAACUGGUGGGAGGCACUAGCUAAGCACCUGGAACCAGAGUUUGCUGAAGUGCUAAACCAGCUUUUGACACCAGUAGCCUCUUUUGCAGGCACAGAGAGAAUAUGUUCUUCAUUUGGACUGAUUCUUUCAAAGUUGAAAUUGAUUGGGAGUUGAAAAAGCAGAAAAAAAUGGUCUUUCUCCUCCUGUCUAGGAAUAAAAUUGAGGAGGAAGGGCAUAAAAUUUACUAGUCUUAAAAAAAGUUUGAAGGACUUAGCAGAUUCUCAUUUUCAAGAGACUUAGGUCGACUUAUCUUUGUAGUGUAGACAUAGCCUAUGUUAGGUUGACAUACAGCCACCGCAUUAAUUACUGUGAUGGCUGAUGUCCACACUACCCUUCUUGGAUCGGUGGUGCGCAUCUUCACAGGCGCACUUCCACCAACGUAAGAGGGGCAGUGUGGGGAUCUGAGAGCCUGGUCUCUCAUCUCCACUGGCAGCUCUGUGCAGGGAGCCUGGCUACACCACAGGCUCCAGACAGGCUGCCGCCUCCCCGUUCCUCACCAGGAAUGGAAGGGAAGCUGCUGGAAACUUCUCACCUCCCCAUUCCCUGCUGGGAGUAAGGGGAAAGCCGCCUGGGACUCCACAGUGAAAUUGACAAGAAAGAUCAGCUGUUAGCUGUCAAAGGAAUGCAAACACUGCAUCACCUUAACUGCACAGACUUAACUACAUCUACAUAAGCCUCUAGUUGAGGUGGUUUUAUUAUGUCAGCAUAGCAGGGGAGUUACAUUGGUGGGAGGAGCAUUUUGGUGUGUACACAUCCACUGUUUUGUCAACAAAAGCUGACUUUUCUCAACAAAACUGUGUAGUGUAGGCGAGAAUUAAUUUAAGCUCCAGUCACUUAUACUUCAGUAUAUUUGAAACUUUCCCAGGCUGACUUGAAAUACUUGUCUUAAUUCACUGGCUACAGUUAAUCCCUCUAUUCCUUUAAUACCUCAUUUGGUUGUAAUAAGAGAUAAGAGAAGUUUAUGUAUUCAAAAUGUUUAAAGUUUUAUUUAUUUAAAUUUUGUAUGCUGUUUGUUUAAUUAAGCCAGUUACCAUCCUAAUGCAGCUUGACACAAAUCAUGAGCAAAAAGUUAAACAUCUAGUAAAUAGAAAAUAGUAAAUGAUAUAUUGCUUAACAUACUAAAAAUGUAUAAUAAGAAUCUGAAAAUGUUUGUUUUGCUUAAAUAAAUAUAUAUAGUUAUAGUGUACACUCCUAGGUAGCAAAAAGACAUACUGAACAUAGUAUAAAGGCUCUAUUUAGUUGUAAAUCAACAUGUUUUAAUAGUUAUACCAACCAGUGAGAAUACACCUUUCUUUAGAAAAUAACAGAAGUACAAACGAAAAAGUUGAUUAAAGUUGAUAAUUUAAAUUAAGGCUUUCUACUUGGUGACUUAAAUUGCUGAUUUAAAUCAGUGCACCCUGUUUUAGGGUGUAAAGAGAUCACUAGCAGGAAUCAGGAAAUAUUUCUCCCAUGAUAUAAGUUUGCACAACAUUCUGUAUCAUGGAAGGCUUAUCCCUUUUCUGUGGUUCAUCUGUCAUUGGCUACGGUCAAGAGACUGGAUUGUUCUAUAAUGGCAGUAUCUCUCUGUUGCUCUUGAGAAUAUGGUUCAUUGAAAAGGAAUCAAGACCUGGACAAGAAUGUUUCUGGAGAUGUGAGUUAAUCUGCUGCUGCCAGGGAUGGCAGUUAUUAACUCUCAGGACUUUACACUAUGGACCUUGAUUUAAAUCUUAUUUUUCCACUAGUGAAAGUGGUGUGGGACAGCUGAGACUGGGAAGGUUAUGACACUUUGUACCCAGAUCUAAUGUCUUUGUUGCAUAGGAAAUCACUCCUUAAGAAGAGUGAAGAAAGCAUCUAUCCAAAUGUGACCCUAAGAGCCCCUUUAUGCUAGCUGACAAAGGACACACUCAACACACUGUGGUCAGAAUAUUUAGCCACAGUGUCUUUUAAGGUAUCAUGUAAAAACUGGUGACACCCUGGUCAUGAAUAUAAUUGUGCAACGUACGUACGGUUUGUGCAUAGAGAGUUAUGUAUGUAUGCUGGAAAUAAGUUAUUGAAAUAUGUUUUGGAAGCAGUAAAUAAACAAACCUGCCUUAGACAAAAGAAUGUGGUUCUGCCUGGCUUGAUUACAGGCAGAUGACAAAGCAGGUAUAUUUACAUAUAAGGUAAACAAAGCAAUCAAGCUAACAAGUGAUGGAGGACACAGUGUGGUGAGCACAUCAAGGGACACAUGAAUCUGAAUCCCCUGGAAGGUUUCUUGGCUCUUCAGGCAACAACCAUAGACUUUGGGAAAUAUAAGGAGAGCAAAAAGACAUUUAUCCAUCAAUAGGGAACAAAGGGGAUAAUAGUGUCUGAUUCUGUUAACUUUGCUUCCUCCUGCCGAAAGGGCUGGAAAUGCUGGUAGCUUGAUGUAAGUGAGAAAGCUGUUUAGACAAAGAUUAUAGCUUGCUAAAAUUGAGUCUUGGGAACUGAAAAGCAUGUUUUGUUUUGUUUGUAACCAUUUCCUUGUUUUCUCGGCUUAGCAUCACUUAAAUCUCUUCUAUUUUUUAAUAAACUUAGUUUAUAGUAAAACUAAGAAUAUCUCAGUGCUGUCAUAUUAAGGUAAAGAGUGUGUGUUUAGUGAGUGCUAGUGUGUAAGCUAUCUCUUUGAAGGAGGCAAACUAAAUCAUUUCUGUGAGUGACUAGUGAGAAUGGACUGGACACUGCAGAGACAGAUCUCUGGGGAGCUGGGGUUUACUGAAUGUUACUGCGAAGAGAUUAAGACUGGCAGAAUCUCCUGGAGUCUGCUGGUAAGGGGGCAGACUGGUGUGGCCGGGAGCUGACACAGUUUAAACUGCCAUUGUGUUAUUUCCCUGCCUCAGUAAGGGAGAGGUUUAGGAUGCCCUGAGGAGAACCUCUCACACAAAGUCUUAAUCAGGGUAUAUAGGUGGAAAUAAACAAGCCAGUGAGGCCAGUCAGCAGAAUUUAUUUAACUAAAAUCCUAGUGCCGCCUCUUUCUGCCUUGCGUAUUGUCAGAGGAGCACAAAAAGCUGUGUAUUCUUUACUGCUGCCGAGGAAAUGGGUGAUUGAAGAUAUGUCUCAGAUGCUGCAAUAGGAAAUCUGAUCUUUUCAGACUGAGCUCUGUUUUUGUUCUUGAUUCUGACAGAUCUAAAACUUUGAUUAUUUUUUUUUUCCCCAAGCUGUUGUGAAAGAGCUGUUGCCUGGAAAAAAUGUGACUGAAGUAUAUACUUAGCUUAUUUCAUGGGAAUCUUAAUGUUAGCGCUAGUUAACAAGAGAUGUGGAUCACUUAAGUAUUGUAUAUGUGCUCAGAGAUUGAGUGUGUUUUUAUAUACACAUUAAACAAGUAUUUAAUCAUGGUAAUCCAUUCCAA